rnacentral:rRNA from 1 species
UACGGGGGGAGCAAGCGUUGUUCGGAUUUACUGGGCGUAAAGGGCGCGUAGGCGGCCACCGCAAGUCGACUGUGAAAUCUCCGGGCUUAACCCGGAAAGGUCAGCCGAUACUGCGGGCUAGAGUGCAGAAGGGGCAACUGGAAUUCUCGGUGUAGCGGUGAAAUGCGUAGAUAUCGAGAGGAACACCUGCGGCGAAGGCGGGUUGCUGGGCUGACACUGACGCUGAGGCGCGAAAGCUAGGGGAGCGAACGGG